rnacentral:rRNA from 8 species
UGGAGGGCAAGUCUGGUGCCAGCAGCCGCGGUAAUUCCAGCUCCAAUAGCGUAUAUUAAAGUUGUUGCGGUUAAAAAGCUCGUAGUUGAAUCUGUGUGUCACAGUGUCGGUUCACCGCUCGCGGUGUCUAACUGGCAUUAUGUGGUACGUCCUACCGGUGGGCUUAGCUCCUUGCGGGCGGUCCAACUAAUCUCCCAUCGCGGUGCUCUUCACUGAGUGUCGAGGUGGGCCGGUACGUUUACUUUGAACAAAUUAGAGUGCUCAAAGCAGGCUACCUUCGCCUGAAUACUGCGUGCAUGGAAUAAUGGAAUAGGACCUCGGUUCUAUUUUGUUGGUUUUCGGAACCCCGAGGUAAUGAUUAAUAGGGACAGAUGGGGGCAUUCGUAUUGCGACGUUAGAGGUGAAAUUCUUGGAUCGUCGCAAGACGGACUAAAGCGAAAGCAUUUGCCAAAAAUGUUUUCAUUAAUCAAGAACGAAAGUUAGAGGUUCGAAGGCGAUCAGAUACCGCCCUAGUUCUAACCAUAAACGAUGCCAGCUAGCGAUCCGCCGAAGUUCCUCCGAUGACUCGGCGGGCAGCUUCCGGGAAACCAAAGCUUUUGGGU